rnacentral:miRNA from 1 species
AUGGGUUACUCCAACUACCAUGACCACUUCUGUUUUUAGAAGUGGUCAUGGUAGUAGGAGCAGGGUAA